rnacentral:tRNA from 1 species
GCCGCAGUGGCGGAACUGGCAGACGCGCUACGUUCAGGGCGUAGUGGGAGUAGCUCCCAUGGGGGUUCAAGUCCCUCCUGCGGCACCA